rnacentral:rRNA from 1 species
GACGAACGCUGGCGGCGUGCUUAACACAUGCAAGUCGAACGGAAAGGCCCUGCUUUUGUGGGGUGCUCGAGUGGCGAACGGGUGAGUAACACGUGAGUAACCUGCCCUUGACUUUGGGAUAACUUCAGGAGACUGGGGCUAAUACCGGAUAGGAGCUCCUGCUGCAUGGUGGGGGUUGGAAAGUUUCGGCGGUUGGGGAUGGACUCGCGGCUUAUCAGCUUGUUGGUGGGGUAGUGGCUUACCAAGGCUUUGACGGGUAGCCGGCCUGAGAGGGUGACCGGCCACAUUGGGACUGAGAUACGGCCCAGACUCCUACGGGAGGCAGCAGUGGGGAAUAUUGCACAAUGGGCGGAAGUCUGAUGCAGCAACGCCGCGUGCGGGAUGACGGCCUUCGGGUUGUAAACCGCUUUCGCCUGUGACGAAGCGUGAGUGACGGUAAUGGGUAAAGAAGCACCGGCUAACUACGUG